AUCAUGGCUCGGACGAACGCUGGCGGCGCGCCUAACACAUGCAAGUCGAGCGAGAACCGGUCCUUCGGGGCCGGGGACAGCGGCGAACGGGUGAGUAACACGUGGGUAAUCUGCCCUCGGCACCGGGAUAGCCCGGGGAAACCCGGAUUAAUACCGGAUGGCCUUUCGGGUCUUCGGACUCGAAUGAAAAGGUAGCUUCGGCCUCCGGCCGAGGAUGAGCCCGCGGCCGAUUAGCUUGUUGGUGAGGUAACGGCUCACCAAGGCUCCGAUCGGUAGCUGGUCUGAGAGGACGAUCAGCCACACUGGGACUGAGACACGGCCCAGACUCCUACGGGAGGCAGCAGUGGGGAAUCUUGCGCAAUGGGCGAAAGCCUGACGCAGCGACGCCGUGUGCGGGAAGAAGGCCUUCGGGUUGUAAACCGCUUUCAGGAGGGACGAAGCCACUCGGGUUAAUAGCCCAGAGGGUGACGGUACCUCCAGAAGAAGCCCCGGCUAACUACGUGCCAGCAGCCGCGGUAAUACGUAUGGGGCUAGCGUUGUCCGGAUUUAUUGUGCGUAAAGAGCGUGUAGGCGGCCGGCUAGGUCUGGUGUGAAAACUCGAGGCUCAACCUCGAGAUGUCGCCGGAAACCAGUCGGCUAGAGUCCGGAAGACGAGAGUGGAUUCCUGGUGUAGCGGUGAAUGC
rnacentral:rRNA from 1 species